rnacentral:lncRNA from 1 species
CAUCUUUCAUUUAAAAGACAUGGACAUCAAUGAGAUCAUGAAAAAAAUGGUGACAUUGAAGCAGUCAAAAUCUUCAUAACUGAGCAUCCAGAUGAAGGUUCAGUGAAAUCAGAAUUGAAGAACAAUCAGAAAAUGACACUGUUGCUUGAAGCCGUUUCCAGGGGCCACCUCGCGAAAUGCUGUUGAUAGUGAAGGCAAUAACUGUUUGCACCUUGCUAUGAAAAGAGAUGUUUAAUUCCGAGGUGCUGCACUGAGCUCAGCUUGAGCAAAGACGAAAGGUUCUCUGGCCUUGUGGUUACCAGAUAUCUAGCCAGCCAUUGGACCUCAUUAAAAACUCAAAUUUGAAAACAAAAUUACAAACAUUUUUACCGCCACAAUGAUUGUGGUGCAGAAAUAAAGCGGCCACAACAAAAGUUCAUCCCUGUGGACACCUUGUGACAUGUGAAGAAUGUUCAAACGUUCCACUGAAACGAUGUCUGAGGUGUUUAAAACCUGUAACAAGCAGAAGUCGAGUUGGUAUUUUUUUAGGAAUUCCAGCAAUUGACCAGGAUAUUAUCAAGAACGUUUUCCCUUGUGACACAGUAAAACAGAGUUAUCAAAUGCUUUGUGAGUGGUUUAUAAAUUGUAAACCAGAGGAACGUACAGUUGAGACCCUCAGAAGAGGCCUUAAAGAUGCUGAGUGCUUUUCUGCCCUUGAGUAUCUCUCAUUAUAUGAACGGUGAAUUUCUGUGUAAAUUCUGCUGUUGUUUACUCCCAGGUGAAUGCUGACCAAAGAGAGAGACCUUUGACCAAAGUAUAGAGAACCAAGAACCACAUUCUCCAAUGUGUCCUCCUUUACAAUGAUGAGGUGUGGAGUGCAGAGGAAUUAGCUACUAAUUCUAGCAGAUCUAUCUCUCACAUAAGAGAUACCCUUCACUGGUUUGGUUCCUUUGUUAGAAAUUAGCUUUUGAAAUAAAGAUAAACUUUGAAAUAUC